rnacentral:rRNA from 1 species
GACAGAGGGUGCAAACGUUGUUCGGAAUUACUGGGCGUAAAGCGCGUGUAGGCUGCUUCGAAAGUCGGAUGUGAAAGCCCUGGGCUCAACCUAGGAAGUGCAUUCGAAACUUCGAAGCUGGAGUCCUGGAGAGGAAGGCGGAAUUCCCGGUGUAGAGGUGAAAUUCGUAGAUAUCGAGAGGAACACCGGUGGCGAAGGCGGCCUUCUGGACAGUGACUGACGCUGAGACGCGAAAGCGUGGGGAGCAAACAGG